rnacentral:rRNA from 1 species
GAUGAACGCUGGCGGCGUGCCUAAUACAUGCAAGUCGAGCGAACAGACGAGGAGCUUGCUCCUCUGACGUUAGCGGCGGACGGGUGAGUAACACGUGGAUAACCUACCUAUAAGACUGGGAUAACUUCGGGAAACCGGAGCUAAUACCGGAUAAUAUAUUGAACCGCAUGGUUCAAUAGUGAAAGACGGUUUUGCUGUCACUUAUAGAUGGAUCCGCGCCGCAUUAGCUAGUUGGUAAGGUAACGGCUUACCAAGGCAACGAUGCGUAGCCGACCUGAGAGGGUGAUCGGCCACACUGGAACGGAGACACGGUCCAGACUCCUACGGGAGGCAGCAGUAGGGAAUCUUCCGCAAUGGGCGAAAGCCUGACGGAGCAACGCCGCGUGAGUGAUGAAGGGCUUCGGAUCGUAAAACUCUGUUAUUAGGGAAGAACAAAUGUGUAAGUAACUAUGCACGUCUUGACGGUACCUAAUCAGAAAGCCACGGCUAACUACGUG